GUCCAGACUCCUACGGAGGCAGCAGUGAGGAAUAUUGGUCAAUGGCCGAGAGGCUGAACCAGCCAAGUCGCGUGAGGGAUGACGGCCCUACGGGUUGUAAACCUCUUUUGCCGGGGAGCAAAGAGCGGGACGCGUCCCGCCUCGAGAGUACCCGGAGAAAAAGCAUCGGCUAACUCCGUGCCAGCAGCCGCGGUAAUACGGAGGAUGCGAGCGUUAUCCGGAUUUAUUGGGUUUAAAGGGUGCGCAGGCGGAAGCGCAAGUCAGCGGUAAAAUUGAGAGGCUCAACCUCUUCGAGCCGUUGAAACUGGUUUUCUUGAGUGAGCGAGAAGUAUGCGGAAUGCGUGGUGUAGCGGUGAAAUGCAUAGAUAUAACGCAGAACUCCGAUUGCGAAGGCAGCAUACCGGCGCUCAACUGACGCUCAUGCACGAAAGUGUGGGUAUCGAACAGGAUUAGAUACCCGUGUAUCC
rnacentral:rRNA from 1 species